GGCUUCUGCGCCCCUGGUCCGCGGUCGCGCGCCGCCCCCGCGCCUCUCCAGCCCUGAGCUCUCUGCGGCCGAAAGUGGCCGGGCAAGCGUUGCCAUGACAGCGCCGCGGGUGGGGAUGCGGGAGGCUGAGAGCGCCGGCCUGCUAGCCCCUUUGUGCGGCGGGGGCGGCGGUGUGCUCCCUCCAAGACCCGCUGCACACCGCUUUCCUGGCCAGGACUCUGGGCUGGGUAAGGAGGGGUUGGGUGUGGGGUUGUAGGGGCGCAAGGAAGCGGGAGGGUGGAGGCGAGGGCCGGGGGUGGGGCGCCUCCGCCCGCCAGCCGCUCCCGCAUUAAAAUUUCAUGGGCGCUGCAGCAGCUACAAAGACGACGCCGGCUGCGCUCGGGGGACCAGAGGGAGGGAGGCUGCGGACGAGUGCGGGGAGGAGUUUGAGAUGGGAGGCGCUUGCAGGGGCUCCCCCAGUUCUGCGCUGUGAGCCGGGGCACAAAGAGCCCUCUGCACUCGCGCCGCAGGACCGCGGACCCGAGUUGGAGGCAUCUGUCCAACCAUGUGGUUCCAGACACGUUCAUGUGGCCACCAUGACCCUGUUUGCAUCACAGGAGUAACCAAGAGAGCAGCAAGUUCCUGGGACAGAGGAGACAGAAGGGAAUUUCCCGGUUCUUCAGGAUGUUCACAACCACACUGAGAAGCAUCCUUGCAGAUAAGUAUUUAAACUUACCAGGCCAUAGCCUACCAGCCUGCCCUCUUCUGGUCUGUGCAGGGAAGUGUAGUAUCCUAGAAUCCCAAAGUGGGAGGGGAAAUGGGUGAUGUAGCUCAUUCUCUUUUCUGAGUCUAUGGAAGAAAGAAAGAGCUUGUCCCCAUUUUGUGGGGUCCCAGAAAGGGUGAUUUUCACACUCCACAUUCGGCAUUAGGGCUAGUAUUUUAUAAACGUCACCGUCUGGAACUUUUGAAGGCUGAGUUAAAUGACUUCACCUUGUGUACUUGUAGAACUGCUAUUAGGAGGAAGCUGGGGACUCCCUGGUAAUGUGAACUAGCCCUUUUCAAUUUUGGUGUUUUGUGAUCAUAUUUAUAAACCUUGGCUAGAGCUCCUUGGCCUUGCAGUUAAGUGAAGAGUUAGCAGUGUGACUUUAGAUGCAUUUUUCUCAGUGCAAGUGUCUGAGUUCACCUCCAGUUCUGAACUCAUGCCCCCACUCCCAGGUGCUGACAGAAAGCUUUGAAGAUAUGCUGAGAUGGCUCCCUGACAAUCCUGAUUCAGGUCUGUCAGUUGAUGAAGACAGCGUAGUUGUCACCAAAGGCAAAACCUGGCAGAUGGUCCUGGGUCAGGAUUAGUGGUCAUUCUCUGGUCUUCUCCAGACUGGUGACACAGGGUGGUCUUAAAAGAGUCCUACUCCAGCCUCUGGCUCCCCGAAUUUCCUCUGGUGCAUGGGGCAUCAGGAAAGGGCAGGGGAGAAGGAGGGGGAGCAGAAAAAUCACUGCUGGGCAGCAGGGUCCCUUCCAUUUCCCCAUCCAUUGCUUCAAACAAUGGGUGAUUAUUGUGCACCUUGAGUGAAUGUCAAGGCAGGAAGAGUCCCAGGGCCACCCAGUGUGGCAGGAGCAGAGCUGGGAUCAGAAUUCUGGAUUCCUGACUCUCCGUUCAGCUGCAAUUCAGCUGUCACCAAGCUGCUGA
ensembl:lncRNA